rnacentral:lncRNA from 1 species
UCAUCCACAAUUCAGUAAUAGCUCUCUAUCAACAUCACCAUAACGUGACCAGCAGCUAAUCGCCCAUCCAAACAGCUCUUUCACGCAGUUUCCUUUCUCAAGAUCUUAAUUUUUGGUGCACAAAUCAGACAAGGAAAAAUAGCAACUUGGUAUUUUCCUCUCAAGUUUUCCCAACUACUCGAUCCAACAGUGAGAGUUUCACACCUCAUUCACAUCAAUCUGCCUCUGCAGUCGACCCUUGUAAAUCUUCAUCGG